UUCACGCAGCCACCAUGAUCUGCGGAACGCAAUUAGUCCAGAUCUCCCUCCCACGAUCCCCGGAAACAACGCACCUCAAGGCCUCGUCGCCUGUAGGUUCUCCGCCGCCGCCCCACGCGACACAGGCCAUCUCUCCCCUGUUUCCCUCUUCUCCAUCCCACACGACAAGCGCGCGGCAGAAGGCGACCACCAUAUCUCUCUUCUCCCUCGCCCCGUUACGCCUCACCCACCGCCGCUUCCUCUCCCCGCCCCCCGGCACAGCCUCACGCUUCCAGUCUCUCGCCUCGAAGGAGGCGGACGCCUCAAUCGUCUCCGGGGCCGGUGGGGCGCGGGGAGCGAGGUGCUCUCGGUGCUCGACCUGGCGCUCACCGUCGAGGAUCACUACUGCCGCCAGCGCGCCCAGGAGCAGCGGAAGGGCAUGGAGGCGGAGGGGUCCGGCAUAGAGGGGAUCUCGGUGGGCGGGCACGAGGCAUGCGUCACUGCGCCGUCCCCAUACUGCGGCAGUGGUCUAUUCAGCAACGAUCUGUACACUGCUUGACAUUUUUGUUUGAGCAGCUUCAGUAUUAUCUUCAUCUAAUUGCUUGUCAAGUUGCUAAUUGGAGUCUUCAGAUUCUUAGUCACAUUGUAGGUCAGUAAAUCUGAUUGUGUGACACCUUUGAGUGUUCAUCUGAAAGUUAAUUCUAGAUCUCGCUAGAGAAUGAUCCUGAUACAUGGAAACAAUCUGAUUUAUUCAUUGUGCGAUUACUUAGACCGGGCACCGGGCCUGCACCUUGCUUCAGUAAGUAAUCCACAAAUUGUGUUUUUUCCCGGGUUGGUUCAGCAAUGAUACUGAUACAUGCAAACAUAUCUGAUUUAUUCCUGUAUAGCUCAGUGCCUGCUGUUAAUUAUGUUUUUUUUCCUUCCUCAGGAUCCACAAACUGUCAAGCGCACAUGGUACAACCAUCAAGUUCUGGGAUAUUAGCUGGCUUAGUGCAGGCAGUCUUUUAACAAAGGAUGGAUGCGAGUAGUGAUAUGCUGAAUACCAUGGAUCUAUGUUCACUGAAGAUAAGUUCUCUUCCUGAAACUUACAAGCACAAACUUCCUUAGUCAACUCAAAGCUAAGCACGGUUAUAAACAAGAUGCUUUAAUAUAAUCAAUACUGCUUGAAUUUAUAUCAGUUUCCAACACUAUCCGAGUCUUUGAGCCAUUCUCUAAAAAUAAAAAUAAACACCUUGAGUGCUUUCUUACCAGUGCCUCUGAUCAAGUUUGGUUUUUCUAUAACCUUAUUAUAAUCCAGUAUUUAAUAUGCCAUCUAAUGAUCCAAGGUCUUUACAGGGAAAACAAUGGCAGUUUUAAUGCAAGUUCACUGAACAACUACCAUAUCUUUAUGUAGCAUUUGAUUGCUUGGAUGAAGUUGGAUGGCAGAUCCCCAUCCAGCUUUUAAAAGUUGGUCUAGGUGUUGCAGCUUCUUCAGUGCAGUAUACACUGGCAACUGGGAGCACACUUGAAUUACAUGGUUUCUCCAUUCAGCCCGCUUGCUUGUUGUUAAUGUCCAUCUUUUUUGAGCUAUCGUGCUGAAACUUUAAUCUGUUGUGCAGAAUACAUUUCUUCACAGAACCCGUUGUUGUGUGCAGAAUAUAUUUCUUCAGAGAAUGUGUUAUUGUGCAGAAACUACAAUGAAGUUGUCGGUGGAGAAGAUCCGGUGAACCCAACUACAUCGGGUUGGUUCAAAGGGAGUGGUCCGAUCAGGUCCUUCCAACGGUCUAUUGUCCGUCGAAGGUCACGUUCAUCUCUGGCAAAUUCCACCGCAGCCUCGGUCGUACGUGUGCUUCGAUCUAUUUUCGUAUUGUUUUCUUGGGCGUUUGGCAAAUGCUUCACAUACUAAGCUAAACAUGCACAACUAUGUAAGAUAGUUUCACCUGUCUCUUAUGUUCUUGCAGUUUGACAUCCAUUGCCAAUUUGUAUUGUUUCUAAACUAAAAUGAUUCCCUCUUGUUCACUAAUUAUCUAUGAACUGAAAUCAUGCCCCGCUCCUGUACUACAUUGGUCUUUCAUAUGCUGGUUGUUCACACAUGGCAUUAGCUUGUCCAUUUCUACUUUAUUUGUCCAGUUCACUCAAAAUGGAAAUACCGCCUGAACCUUUUAUGCUUACCUAUUAAGCUUACCUGCAAUGUCCACUCCUAUUGUUCUCUGACCUGUCAAACAAUAAGAGAUGGUGCAGCUAGCUGCUGAAAAGGAGAUGACUGUGGUCCUCUUGACAACGAAGAUGAAGACGCGGUAGACCAAGCCUUAUGUGUUCUCCACUUGCAUGCACAACGAGUUCCGCAAGAUGGCCAAUGUUGUCAAGAACCAGGUCACUGGAAGCUACUACAUGCCUGACUUGACCAAACCCGCUCUUGCAAGACUUUCAAUUUACUGCAACCUCCGAGUUUCCAAAUACGGUGUCAAGAAAAAGAAGAAAAAAGUCCAUUUUACUACGGUGAACAAAGUUGGUGGUUCACAUUACCCCUGAUCUAUUUUUCUGCUCUUUUCACCCCCUAAACAAUCCCAAACCGGACAAAAGACCCCCAUGGGUGGUUUGUGUCAACUUCCAGCUGAUGUGGCGCUGGUCAAUGGUGGUUUGACCUACGGGUGGGGCCAUGAGGAUUAACUUAACUGAAACAGGAAAUUAGCCCAUGGUUAAUUAGGCAAUGGGACCCGCUUGGCAGUGACUUGGGGGUGGAUUAACUAAGUGCUAAUGGUAGGUUUAGCCGGUGGCUAGCCGGAGCACGACGAAGCUAAGGGCACGAACGGCGGGGAGGUGCUGCAGCAGCUGGCGAUGGAGCAGCACUGGGCGUAAAAUGGGUGGUGGUGGCCCAGUUCUUGGGCAUCAUUGUCCCUCUCCUUGCGCAGGAGGUAGCGAGACAGCGAGGCAGGCGGCACGGGGAGGCAUGGGGCGGCCAGAUCCAGGGAUGGCGGCCCCAUUAGGUCUGGUUCUGGCCUGUCUGGAGUCUAGCAUUGGUGUGAAGACGACACGACGGUGAGCUUGUGGCGGCGGCGGCUCAACCCCCAGGCAUGGUCGUCCCUGUCUUCGCGCGGGAGGUAGCAGGGCAGCGGCAGCGGCGCUACAGCGAUGCAGGUGCAGGGGGAGCCCGAGGGGCGACCAGAUCUGGGGGUAGCGGCCCCAUAUGGUCUGGUUCCGGUCGGAUGCGGAGUUCGGCGACGGUUGUGAAGACGGCCCGCCGGCGAGCUUGUGGCGACGGUUGACCUAUACGUGAGCCGAGAGAAGAGAGAAGGGAGAGGAAAGAGAUGGGAGAAAGGAGAAGCAGGGCGGCAGCUUGGAACUCCGGCGGUCGCCGGCAUCAUCUAGAGGCGGCAGGGUCGGGCGUGGUGCUCGGGAAGGAGGCAGCUAUGAGGGGAGGCUCGGGAGGAGCUCCUCUGUCUCAACCCAGCUUGAUGAGGGAGACUCACCCGCAGGUCAAAACCGGCCAUUGACCAUUGCCACGUCAGCAACCAGUGAAGUAAAACCACCCAGGGACUGAUUUUUUUCCGGUAUGAAAUUGUUCAGGGGGUAAAAGGAACAGAAAUAAAGAUCAGGGGGUUAUGUGAACCACCAAUUUUCUUCAGUGUAGUAAAAUGGACUUUUUUAAAAAAGAACAUCCAUACGAAUAGCGUUGAGAGGCAAUGAGCUUUUUUUUGUGCAUGAGUUGGUUUGUGUUUCCAUUCUUCUAGAUUUGUGCUAAGAGAAUGGAGUCGAAUAUAAUGAAUGAUGUGCUCAGCAGACAGGCACAAGUUUUGCCAGUAGGUUCAACAUUUGUACCCCAUGACUAUGUGUUCCAGAACUGAUUUGGACAUUCCCCCUUUUCUUUAGAGAUGAAGGGAUCAUUUGUACUCCCUCUGUGCCAUGCCUGCGUGCAUGAUUACUCAGUAUAGUCAUGUUCAUUUUUGUUAUGUUUCUAAACAUGUAUAUCAUUUAUGUGUGUGAACUGGUGGUGUCCUUUAGAAAUACUUAUUGUUGUGCA